rnacentral:rRNA from 1 species
GGAAUAUUGGACAAUGGGGGCAACCCUGAUCCAGCCAUGCCGCGUGUGUGAAGAAGGCUUUCGGGUUGUAAAGCACUUUCAGUGAGGAAGAAGGCCUUGGGGUUAAUACCCCCGAGGAAGGACAUCACUCACAGAAGAAGCACCGGCUAACUCCGUGCCAGCAGCCGCGGUAAUACGGAGGGUGCGAGCGUUAAUCGGAAUUACUGGGCGUAAAGCGUGCGCAGGCGGCUCGCUAAGACAGGUGUGAAAGCCCCGGGCUUAACCUGGGAACUGCGUUUGAAACUGGGGAGCUAGAGUGUGGAAGAGGGGGGUGGAAUUCCAGGUGUAGCAGUGAAAUGCGUAGAGAUCUGGAGGAACACCGAUGGCGAAGGCAGCCCCCUGGGCUAACACUGACGCUCAUGCACGAAAGCGUGGGGAGCA